GACGGAGGGUGCAAGCGUUGUUCGGAUUGACUGGGCGUAAAGGGCGUGUAGGCGGUUGGUCAAGUCUGAUGUGAAAGCCCGGGGCUCAGCCCCGGAAGGGCAUCGGAAACUAGCCAGCUGGAGCGCGAUAGAGGAGGGUGGAAUUCCUGGUGUAGCGGUGAAAUGCGCAGAUAUCGGGAGGAACACCGGUGGCGAAGGCGGUUCUCUGGGCCUGUACUGACGCUGAGGAGCGAAAGCGUGGGGAGCAAACAGG
rnacentral:rRNA from 1 species